GAUGAACGCUGGCGGCGUGCCUAAUACAUGCAAGUAGGACGCAGUUGCGAACGGGAGAGUAACGCGUCGGUCACUACCUGUUAGAGGGGGAUAACUAUUGGCAACGAUAGCCAAUACCGCAUACUAGUAGAUGGACCUGCGUUGUAUUAGCUAGUAGGUUGGGUAAUGGCCUACCUAGGCAACGAUACAGAGCCGACCUGAGAGGAGGAACGGCCACACUGGGACUGAGACACGGCCCAGACUCCUACGGGAGGCAGCAGUAGGGAAGCUUCGGCAAUGGGAGAAAGCCUGACGGAGCAACGCCGCGUGAGUGAUGAAGGUUUUCGGAUCGUAAAGCUCUGUUGUUAAGGAAGCGGUACUUGACCAGAAAGGGACGGCUAACUACGUGCCAGCAGCCGCGGUAAUUC
rnacentral:rRNA from 1 species